rnacentral:rRNA from 1 species
AACCAUGAGAUUGAUUUUAAUAUUUAUUUUAUUUUUUAGUAAUUUUAUUUUAAUUGUUUAUUAUAAUUUUUAAAAAAUUUUUUUUCUUUAGUUUAUUUUACUGAAAAGGAAUUAUUUAAUUAUUUAGAAGAAUCCAUUUUUGUAGUACCUUUUGUAUCAGGGUUAAUCAAUUUUUUUAAUUUAUGAAUUAUUUUCUCGAAUAAUCAAGAUUUAAAUUAAUUUGUUUUUUAAUGUUUUAUAAUUAAUUUAUAAAUUUAAUUUGGUUUCGAAAUGAAAAUUCGUUUGGUUUGAUAUCUAGUUAAUUAAGAUUUUAAUUUAAUUAAGGAUUACUAUUAAAUUAAUUAUUUUAUAAUUUUUUUUAUUGUAUUCUAAGUUCAAUAGGGAUAAGCUUGUUGAAUUUUUAUAAUUUUAAAUUGAAUAUAUUUUUUUUAGGUUUAGAAUUUGUCUUUAUUUAAAGUUUGUAAAAAAUUUAAAUAUUAAUUUUUGUAUAUUUAUAUUUAUAUUAAUUUUAAGAAAUUAAUUUUUUUUUAUUUUAAUAAUAAUUAAAUUAGUAAAUUUUGUUUAUAUUUAAUAUAUGAAUUCGGCAAAAAUAGUUUUUCACCUGUUUAACAAAAACAUGUCCUUAAGGUUUUAUUUUAGGUCGGGCCUGCUCAGUGAAAUUUUUUAACAGCCGCGGUAUUUUAACUGUGCUAAGGUAGCAUAAUAAUUAGUCUUUUAAUUGAGGUCUAGAAUGAAUGGUUUGAUGAAAAAACAUCUUUAUUUAUUAAAUUAAUUUGAAUUUUAUUUUUGAUUUAAAAAGAUCAAAUUUAUUUGAGUGACGAUAAGACCCUAUAGAUCUUAAAAAUUUAAAUUAUUUUUUUUUUAGAGGUGUUUAAAAAAUUAAGAUUAAGAUUUUUUUGUUGGGGUGACAUAUAAAAUAUUAAACUUUAUGUUUUUUUUACAAUCAUAAUUGUUUAUUUAGAUCCUUUUUAAUGAUAUAAAGAAAAAGAUACCUUAGGGAUAACAGCGUAAUAAAUUUGGAGAGUUCUAAUCGAUAAAUUUGAUUGCGACCUCGAUGUUGGAUUAAUUUUAAGUUGUGGGGUAGGUUUUACAAUUUUAGGUCUGUUCGACCUUUAAAAAAUUACAUGAUCUGAGUUCAGACCGGCGUGAGCCAGGUUGGUUUCUAUCUUCAUUAUUUUUUUUGAUUAGUACGAAAGGACUUUCAAAUUAUAAUAUUUAUUUU